UUCGUCCUUGUCUUUGGGGAGCAUAGUAUUCAAUGAUCGUGUAGUGAGAGUACUGUUGCUGAAGCCCAUUCUAAAAUAAAACCCGCAUCCACGCAUUAUGUCGCGAGAUGCAAUUUUUGGUUGG